GUACGGGAGGCAGCAGUGGGGAAUAUUGGACAAUGGGCGCAAGCCUGAUCCAGCCAUGCCGCGUGAGUGAUGAAGGCCCUAGGGUUGUAAAGCUCUUUUGUGCGGGAAGAUAAUGACGGUACCGCAAGAAUAAGCCCCGGCUAACUUCGUGCCAGCAGCCGCGGUAAUACGAAGGGGGCUAGCGUUGCUCGGAAUCACUGGGCGUAAAGGGUGCGUAGGCGGGUCUUUAAGUCAGGGGUGAAAUCCUGGAGCUCAACUCCAGAACUGCCUUUGAUACUGAAGAUCUUGAGUUCGGGAGAGGUGAGUGGAACUGCGAGUGUAGAGGUGAAAUUCGUAGAUAUUCGCAAGAACACCAGUGGCGAAGGCGGCUCACUGGCCCGAUACUGACGCUGAGGCACGAAAGCGUGGGGAGCAAACAGGAUUAGAUACCCUGGUAGUCC
rnacentral:rRNA from 1 species